UGGUGGCAGUAGUAGUACCGUACCGUUUAUAUUAUCUUAGGUCGUACCAAUUCUCACGCUCCAUCUUUUAUGGUACCUGACGUUAAUAAUAUAAAUCAUGGAUGUAACGUUUCCAUCUGAAAUAUGGUUGGAGAUAUUUAAGUGGAUAAAACUGCCGAAAUUGAUGGAACUCAGGCUCGUGUGCCGACUUUUCUACCAUUUGAUAGAAUACAACUUAGAUGAAACCCAGGAGUGGAGAAGUUUGGCCUAUAAAACCCUGUACGAUGAUUGUUUGUAUACGACAAUGCAGCGGGCUUUCCCCUAUCAUAUCGUGACUGAGAAGGAUCAUCCGAUAUUGUGGCGUAGGACAUACUUGUCCUCCAAAAAGUGGAAGAAGGUCAUGGAAAAUGAGCAUAAGAAAGACUCGAUCAUUUUAGUGUCUUCUUGCAGCAAGAUUUCAUGUAUUAGGACUUUCGAUAAGUACAUAUCAAUUGCUUUAGACAAUGGCGUGAUAGAAAAUUACACUAUUGAUGACUUGAAAACGCCGUAUUCUUUAGCACAUCACAAUACCUAUAUCAAACAAAUUGUGUUUUGGUAUACCAAUGACGAAGUACUCAUCGUGACUGUUGGACAGGACAACGGUUUGAAGUUUUGGGAUCUUCAAAAUAAAAAAGAAAUAGUUACUACCGGUUUCUACGCUAAUUGCAUUAACUCUGGAGAAUGCCGGCAUUUUUGCAUCGGCGAAUGGGAUGGAAUUUUAACCUCUUAUGAGAAAAUCGACAACCAAAUAACAACUGGUUCAAAAUGUGAUUUACGUUUAAAUACAAACGAAAAAAUACUUAAUCAUGCUACCAACGGAAUAUCUAUGGCGGCACUUGCAUAUCAUGAUUAUAAAAUGAAGAUUUAUCAUUACUGUGCAAAAUUAGAAGGCAAACGUUUGAUUGGGUUCAACGUGACAUACGAAUCAUCAGAAGUUGAUGUGCCAGAACGUUUACUUUCUUCUCUGCAUGAAAUACUCAUAUUAACCAAUACCAUUUAUUUUAUAGUCGCAGAUGAAAAAAUCGUAACAACUCAUUUAAUCCGUCCCAAAUGGUAUAAUUUCAACUCGACCGAAUACUUUAAAUGUCGUGUCAGAUCAAUAGCGCUCCAUGCACAAAUUCUGAUGUUUGGUCUGGAAGAUGAAAACCUUAGGACGAUGUUAACACUAGGAUAUCCAAAACACGAGAGAGAGUACCUUCAGUAAUUUUUGAGUCUUCGAUUUUGGGCGGUUGCAAAGUGCAGGACAAUCUUUCGAACAUAUAUACGUUCAUACUCUCUAUACCUGCCCAUGUAUAGGCGCAUCUAUACAUGCACAAACGGAUACGUAUAUGUUGAGCCAAAAGAAGGGAUAUUAAUGUAAUUCAAUUGGAAUUUAUUGAUUAACAAUUGAACUUAUUCAUUUAUUUAUGACAGGUCUCAUUGCUGGAAAGAUUAUUUGAUACAUAAAGGUCAAGUAAUAGAAAAAAUAUAUGUCUGUCGUACAGAGUAUUUAAAAUUGGAGUACCUCAAUCCAAAAUUUAAAUAAUUUUUCCGGACAUAUUUUUUUCAUUUUAACCAAAGAAGAGCCAUGAGUUUUGUUCUGGCAAAAAAAAUUACUUCCAAUGUACGUCAAUCAAUGUUUGAUUUUUUAGUUGGCUUAAAGUUCCGAAGGAGAAAAAACUGCAGCUACACCGAAACCAAAGCCUUGUUUGUUAAAUUAAUUUUUCAUCACAGUUUAAUUGGAUACAUAAUUGUUUACAUGGAGAUGCAGGCAGUACGGAUAAUUUCCGGCCGAGUUACAGUGAACACCGCAAAUUGUUUUUUUUUCAAGACGUCCUAGGGGAAGCUCUGUCACGGGCUAAUGGUUUAAUAUUUUUGCAUGAAAAAUUUACAGAACAUAGUCAAAACUAUGCUCAAUAAUGUAUA